rnacentral:rRNA from 1 species
CGUCAAAUCAUCAUGCCCCUUAUGUCCCGGGCUACACACGUAAUACAAUGGCGUUUAACAGAGGGAAGCGAAACCGCGAGGUGGAGCAAAUCCCGAAAAGGCGCCUCAGUUCGGAUCGCAGGCUGCAACCCGCCUGCGUGAAGUCGGAAUUGCUAGUAAUCGCGGAUCAGCAUGCCGCGGUGAAUACGUUCCCGGGCCUU